GGGAGCUUGGCUCAGUUGGAAGAGCGCAGGUCUCAUAUAUACAUAUAUAUAUAUAUAUAUAUAUACGAUAUGAUCCAGUUUGACAUUGGAAGUAAUCCUGAGGUCGUGAGUUCGAGACUCACAGUUCCCA